GAUGUCUAAAUAACUGCCUGGAAAACUUUGCAUACUGGAAAAUGGAAGAAUGUAAAAGAUCUCUGGCAGCUAUCUCAUUUCAUACAAGGGCAAGUUUUAUCUUAAACCUAUCUAUACUCUCAGAAUGGGAUAAUGCCAACAAACCUUGCAAUAGCAAGGAAUGUGGAUUUCUCUGCCCUACUGCCUCCUUCUUGGAUCUUGCAGAAGCUCACCGGUGAGUGAAUCUUCCUUGCUUAGUGACACAUUGCAGGUUGAUUGCCCUGCUGCUGCCCUGGAGUCAAACGGUGACACCCAUAAAUACAGGUUUAGGAGUGUGUGAGGAGCACUGACCUUUGUCACAGCAGAUAAGAACAUCACUCCUUAUUCCCUGGUGGCUGAUUUUGUGUACGGCUGUAUGUAAACAGCUGUGGUUUGCCCUGGCCAGCUGGUUGUUGCCUGCGCUCUGCUCUGCCAGGCUCUGUGUCAUACUUGUGAUGCAGUCCUGAUGUGAUGUACUUGAAGCAUUUUCUGACUUUAUUUAUUUAUAUUUCUGAAAAGGACCGUUGCUUGUAUUCAACCACUUCUGCUCUGGUUACUUUCAGUGCUGGAUGCAGCUGUGCUCUGUACUAGGGUGGGGAGGUGGUGGAAAGCACUGCUCAGCAUCCCACUUCCGUUGUCAUCUGGCCCCACAGAAGAGAGAGGAGAACAGCAAAGUUGAGGAGCUGCCCUGACUGACUGACCUUCCAGGCAUCAGCUGUGGUUGCUGUAAUAUCACCCCUACCCUAGCCUACAAAGGUGGCACCCUCUCUCCUGUCACUACAAAGACUGGCGCUCCAAAAAGAAUCAGCAGAGGUACGAAAACUUACAAAAGCAAAUUUAAAAGAUGUGAAAAGACUGCAUGACUGCCUCCGAUACUGUUAGAGCACAGUGUUUAUGUACAUUUACUAUUCAUAUCUUAUUUUUGUAAGAACAAAACAUGAUGCUUCUAUUCAGGGCUAUAACUGACUGUAUUUUGUCUGCAGAGGAUGCCAGCCCAGCACUAGUGCAGAGGCAGACUUUAAGAGCUGAGUGGAAUUUCUGAAGGUAUUAGGCUUGUGCAGGGAUGAAAGAAUUCAGAUGAAUCAAAACAUCUUUAGGUGUGUAUAGUCUACACAGUUACAAUGAACAUGCUAGAAGAACAGAAUCUCACCCAAGCUGCUUCAGUGCCCUUUUUGGAGUCUGAAAGUGGGUUAAGACGCAUAUGCAGACAUGACUUUAUUUUGCAGGUAUUGGGCACAUAAGACAAUCCAGCCAGAGCUACAUUACCAAUCGGUUCACAUUUAAGUAACUACAAGGCUCCCUGAAUUUCUGCCAGAGUCGUUCUCCCCGUUCAGACCCAAAACCGUUCCCGACUUGCCUCCGCGCCUCAUGCCAGCGCGCCUCGGCUGGCUCGCCAAGUCUCUGCUGUGCAAAGCCUUAUCGGUAUACGGGCAGCUCUCGACACAGACUGCAACUCUGCUCGACGCUACAGGCGCAAAACAUUACUCCCGGCGUUUAUUUAGUAGGAUGCUGUGUUUGCCUGAGAA